UACGUAGGGUGCAAGCGUUGUCCGGAAUUAUUGGGCGUAAAGAGCUCGUAGGCGGUCUGUCGCGUCGGCUGUGAAAACCCGGAACUCAACUCCGGGCCUGCAGUCGAUACGGGCAAACUGGAGUGUUGCAGGGGAGACUGGAAUUCCUGGUGUAGCGGUGAAAUGCGCAGAUAUCAGGAGGAACACCGGUGGCGAAGGCGGGUCUCUGGGCAACAACUGACGCUGAGGAGCGAAAGCGUGGGGAGCGAACAGG
rnacentral:rRNA from 1 species